rnacentral:rRNA from 1 species
GUAGGGAAUAUUGCGCAAUGGAGGCAACUCUGACGCAGCCAUGCCGCGUGCAGGAAGAAGGCGCUACGCGUUGUAAACUGCUUUUAACCGGGAAGAAACCCCAGGACGUGUCCUGGGUUGACGGUACCGGAGGAAUAAGCACCGGCUAACUUCGUGCCAGCAGCCGCGGUAAUACGAAGGGUGCAAGCGUUAUCCGGAUUCAUUGGGUUUAAAGGGUGCGUAGGCGGAGCGUUAAGUCAGUGGUGAAAUCCUGCAGCUUAACUGUAGACUUGCCAUUGAUACUGGCGCUCUUGAGUGCGCUUGAAGUGGGCGGAAUGUGCCGUGUAGCGGUGAAAUGCUUAGAUAUGGCACAGAACACCAAUUGCGAAGGCAGCUCACUAAGGCGAUACUGACGCUGAGGCACGAAAGCGUGGGGAUCGAACAGGAUUAGAAACCCGUGUAGUCC